CGGCAAACCCCUUGUUCCCUAGUUUGCAGCGGUUCGGCCGGGAACUUAGGGAGACUGCCGGUGAUAAACCGGAGGAAGGUGGGGAUGACGUCAAGUCAUCAUGGCCCUUAUGGGCUGGGCUUCACACGUGCUACAAUGGCCGGCACAGACGGUUGCUAACCCGCGAGGGGGAGCUAAUCCGACAAAACCGGUCGUAGNGAUUGCAGUCUGCAACUCGACCGCAUGAAGUCGGAUCGCUAGUAAUCGCAGAUCAGAACGCUGC
rnacentral:rRNA from 1 species